UCUACGUGUAGAAUGAUGCCUGUACCUUAUGAAUAAGCAUCGGCUAACUCCGUGCCAGCAGCCGCGGUAAUACGGAGGAUGCGAGCGUUAUCCCGGAUUUAUUGGGUUUAAAGGGUGCGUAGGGCGGUUUAUUAAGUUAGUGGUUAAAUAUUUGGAGCUAAACUCAAUUGUGCCCAUUAAUACUGGUAAACUGGAGUACAGACGAGGUAGGCGGAAUA
rnacentral:rRNA from 1 species